CAAUGAAGGAAGCAUAAUAAUGUGCACAGAAAUUAAAUUGGGUCUCUAGGCCUGCCCUCUCUAAUGCUAUCGGCUUUGAUAGUGGGUAUGGUUCCACAACAAAAUA